GCCUUCGUGGUGUAGUGGUCAGCACUCUCGGCGCGUAUUCUAGAAGCCCAUGGUUCGAUUCCCGGUGAGGGCA
rnacentral:tRNA from 1 species